rnacentral:rRNA from 1 species
GACGUAGGGCGCGAGCGUUGUCCGGAUUUAUUGGGCGUAAAGCGCUCGCAGGUGGUUUGUCGCGUCGUGCGUGAAAGACCCCGGCUCAACUGGGGAGGGUCGUGCGAUACGGGCGAACUGGAGGCCAGUAGGGGGAUGCGGAAUUCCGGGUGUAGUGGUGGAAUGCGUAGAGAUCCGGAGGAACACCAGCGGCGAAGGCGGCAUCCUGGACUGGUCCUGACACUCAGGAGCGAAAGCGUGGGGAGCGAUCCGG